GUGUGUGUGUGUGUGUGUGUGUGUGUGUAUACACACAGACAUAUAUGUACAUAUGUACAUGUUUGUGUGUACACACACACACACACACACAU
rnacentral:miRNA from 1 species